UACGUAGGGUGCGAGCGUUAAUCGGAAUUACUGGGCGUAAAGCGUGCGCAGGCGGUUUUGUAAGCCAGGUGUGAAAUCCCCGGGCUCAACCUGGGAAUGGCAUUUGGGACUGCAAGGCUGGAGUGCGGCAGAGGAGACUGGAAUUCCUGGUGUAGCAGUGAAAUGCGUUGAUAUCGUUCGGAACACCAAUAGCGAAGGCAGGCUUCUGGGUGCCACCUGACACUGCUAGGACGAAAGCGUGGGGAGCGAAUGGG
rnacentral:rRNA from 1 species